rnacentral:rRNA from 1 species
AUUGAACGCUGGCGGCAUGCUUUACACAUGCAAGUCGAACGGCAGCGGGUCCUUCGGGAUGCCGGCGAGUGGCGAACGGGUGAGUAAUACAUCGGAACGUACCCAGUCGUGGGGGAUAACGUAUCGAAAGGUACGCUAAUACCGCAUACGUCCUGAGGGGGAAAGCGGGGGAUCUUCGGACCUCGCGCGGUUGGAUCGGCCGAUGUCUGAGUAGCUUGUUGGUGGGGUAAAGGCCCACCAAGGCGACGAUCAGUAGCUGGUCUGAGAGGAUGAUCAGCCACACUGGGACUGAGACACGGCCCAGACUCCUACGGGAGGCAGCAGUGGGGAAUUUUGGACAAUGGGGGCAACCCUGAUCCAGCCAUGCCGCGUGAGUGAAGAAGGCCUUCGGGUUGUAAAGCUCUUUCGGACGGGAAGAAAACGUGUGCUCUAACACAGUGCGCGGAUGACGGUACCGUAAGAAGAAGCACCGGCUAACUACGUGCCAGCAGCCGCUGUAA